UCUAUCCAUGCAUUUACUGUCUAUAUAACGAUUGUAGGUUGGUCUAGAAGGAAGUGCAAUGGGGCAGUGGUGGGUGGAUACAAUAGGAAAGGCCUUGGAAGACGGAAAAGCUUUUGAGCGUAUGGGUUCUAGGCAGCUUGCUCGCUUGCUUAUAUCUCUUUGGGUAAGAAAGAAUCUUAGAAAACAUGUUGGGGACAUUGAUGCUGAAGCAGUCCCAUGUGGUUUUGGACGUGCAAUUGGCAACAAGGUCUGUUUAAAUUUUUCAUUCAUUAUAUGACAUCAAAUGAGAAAAUCAGAAUGCAAUGUCGUACAAAGGAUAAGUUUGUAUAGAAGAUCACUUGUGAAGGCCAGUCUUUUGUCAAGAAUGAUGGAG